GCAGGGAUGGCGGAGCCUGGUCAAACGCGACGGACUCAAGAUCCGUUGGCUUAGGUCUACGGGAGUUCAAAAUAAUAUUUAUGGACAAAUCUCCCUCCCUGCA
rnacentral:tRNA from 1 species